UUUAAACGCAACCAUAAAUUUUCGCGUCCAACUUUGAUCGUCUAUCUUAUUUAAAUUUUUUAUAGUAUUUUUAUUGUUAUUAUAUGAUAAAACAUAAAUAGUACUUCAUAUGUGACUUAUAUUUUUUAAAUUUUUUAAAUAAGACGGCGAUUAAAAUUGAACACGAAAACUUGGACGGAGGGAGU
rnacentral:pre_miRNA from 1 species